GAUGAACGCUGGCGGCGUGCCUAAUACAUGCAAGUCGAGCGAACAGAUCAGGAUCUUGCUCCUUUGACGUUUGCGGCGGACGUGUGUGUCACACGUGGGUAACCUCCCUAUCAUACUGGUAUAACUUCGGGAAUCCGGCUCUUAUCCCGUAUAAUAUUUCGCACCGCAUUGUUCGUUAGUGAAAUUUGGUUUUUCUGUCUCUUCUCGCUGGACCCGCGCCGUAUUAGCUAGUUGGUAAGGUAACGGCUUACCAAGGCGACGAUACGUAGCCGACCUGAGAGGGUGGUCGGCCACAUUGGAAGGGAGACACGGUCAAGAGGCCUAAGGGAGGGAGCAGUAGGGAAUGGGCCGCAAUGGGCGGAAACAUGACGGAGCAAGGCCGCGUGAGAGGUGAAGAUCUUCGGAUCGUAAAACUCGGUUAUGAGGGAAGAACAGACGUGGAAGUAAAUGUGCAGGUCGUGACGGUACCGAAUCAGAAAGCAACGGCUAACUACGUG
rnacentral:rRNA from 1 species